rnacentral:rRNA from 1 species
GAUCCUGGCUCAGAUUGAACGCUGGCGGCAGGCCUAACACAUGCAAGUCGAACGGUAACAGGAAGCAGCUUGCUGCUUCGCUGACGAGUGGCGGACGGGUGAGUAAUGUCUGGGAAACUGCCUGAUGGAGGGGGAUAACUACUGGAAACGGUAGCUAAUACCGCAUAACGUCGCAAGACCAAAAGAGGGGGGACCUUCGGACCUCUUGCCAUCGGAUGUGCCCAGAUGGGAUUAGCUAGUAGGG